rnacentral:lncRNA from 1 species
GACCAUAAUAAUUCUAAGCAAGCUUUAAUCAAAUUCAAAGAAACUUCAAAGAAAUUUCAAAGAAAUAAUAAGAAAUCUUAAAGAAAUAUUAGAAUGAUCACAAAUAUAUUUCAAAUACAUCUCAAUUCAAUCUUAAUUUAAUCCUAAUUAAAAUCCUAUUGGACUUCAUUCAAACUUUAGGCCAAAACUAAUUAAAUCUUAAACCCUAAAUAAAUCCUAAUAAAAUCCUAAAUCCUAAAUUAAACCCUAAAUUCUAAACCAAAUCCUAAAUCCUAAACUAAAUCCUAACCAAAUCUUAAACCAAAUUCUAUCCAAACCUUAAACCAAAUCCUAACCAAACCCUAAACAAAUCUUAAACCAAACCCCAACCAAACUCUAAAUCCUAAAUCAAAUCCUAACCAAAUCCUAAAUCUUAAAUAAAACCCUAAUCAAACUCUAAACCCUAAAAUAAACCCUAACCAAAUCCUAAAAAAAUCUUAAACCUAAUUCCAAUCAAAUUCUAAAUCAAAUCCUAAACCC